UCCCUGGUGGCUAAUAUGGUAAAAAAUCUGCCUGCAAUGCAGGAAAUCCGGGUUCGAUCCCUGGGUAGGGAA
rnacentral:tRNA from 1 species